AAGCAAUUUGCUCAUAGCCAUAGCUUUCUUGUGAAAGUAGGAUAUUAACCCAGGUGUCUUGGUGCUGGAGAACAGAACUGGCCAGAGUCCAUCCUGUCUCCCACCGGCAUCCCAUUACGAAAUGAACACAGAAAAGGCAGGUCUGCAAUGCCAACAUCUAGUAUCUAUCCCAAAGACCAGGGAGAAAGGAAGGAAAGAUUCUGGUUCUGUCCUCUUCCCCAAGGCAAGGCUGGCUGCCCUACCAACAGAGGCAAAGAGAAGAGUGUGCAAGGCUGGCUGCCCUCCCAACAGAGGCAAAGAGGAGUGUGUGUUGAAAUAUCCAUUGAAUCCCUGAGACAACUGGAUCCUGGCCCAUUGAAUCAUAAACUCAGAAACCAUGCCGAUUACCGACCGAGCUCUCAAUGGAAAAAUGCAGUCGGCGUGAACCACGCACGAACACAGCAGAGAAAGAAGAAAACACACACCACGAGGAACCCUAAUAGGACAAUACAUUAUAAGCCUCAUGGUACAUCCACUUGGUGUGCUGGGAGAGUCAGGAUGAGGACCUGAGAAGAACAGCAGCUUGAACCUGACUUCAUUUAACAGCCCACUGCCCUCUUGCCAAGAACCCAUCACAGACCUUCCCAGAAGAGAGGGAUGAGCCUCACCUAUGAAUAAGUCCUCAGAAACUCAAAUUUGAUUCUAAUGGAUUGUUUUCUCAGAAAGACUGAGCAUGUCCCCCCACAUCUCUGUCAUUUCCCACAGUAGUAACCUCUGCAGAUGCCACAUAGAAAACAAAACAAAACAAAAAAACAUGAGGUUGGUGGGCAGAUAGGCAGGGUAUAAACAAACAGCCUUGUAACCCAGAAGCUGUGUGAUAUACAGUAAACUUCACAACACUGAAAAGAUGUCCUAUCUGUUAAAAUGGGGUAAUAACAACUACCCGAAUGUUUAGGAAUAGAACUUCAAUAAAUGAUACAUUUUAUAGUACAGCAGACCAUCCUGUAAAGGUUUCAUCCUUCACUGUGGUGAUAAAUAUCCCAAACCACAUUGAAAAGCAUUGCAUCUACAUUUAUCUACACUGUAACUGUACUGUAAAUCAUGGGGGAGGGGAGAAUCAUAAAAACACCACCUGUCACCGUGUCAUUAAAGCAAGUUGGAAGUGAUACUUACAGAAACACAGCAAGAGCACCCCCAGUCACACAGUUCAAUCUCUUAGCAAGCGUUUUCUUUCUAGCCCAGUGGUUCUCAGUUUGGAAUUUUUGGCACUGCCUAGAGAUAGUUUUGUUGUUAAAACUGAGAAAAGAGCCGGGCGUGGUGGCACACGCCUUUAAUCCCAGCACUCAGGAGGCAGAGGCAGG
rnacentral:lncRNA from 1 species